rnacentral:misc_RNA from 1 species
CCUUCUCAACUAUACAAGUUUUUACAACAUGUAUAGCUUGGAUCUUGGGAUUUGCGGGCUUUCGCGAGUCAGCUAUCCUUAAAUGUAUUAGCAGAGCUUUUGCCGCUAACCCCUGGUGUGAUAAUUAUCUACGCCGUUGAGUUUCGACAAAUGAGGCUUAGCUUCUAAUCGUCUGAAAGGACAACAUUUGACA